rnacentral:rRNA from 1 species
CAGCAGCCGCGGUAAUACGUAGGUCCCGAGCGUUGUCCGGAUUUAUUGGGCGUAAAGCGGGCGCAGGCGGUUAGAUAAGUCUGAAGUUAAAGGCUGUGGCUUAACCAUAGUACGCUUUGGAAACUGUUUAACUUGAGUGCAAGAGGGGAGAGUGGAAUUCCAUGUGUAGCGGUGAAAUGCGUAGAUAUCAGUCGGAACACCCAUGGCGAAGGCAGCUGCCUGGCCUAAUACUGACGCUGAGGUGCGAAAGCGUGGGGAGCGAACGGGAUUAGAUACCCCAGUAGUCCCUGUCUCUUAUACA